CGUGAGGGGCGGGAUAGAGGAAACCCCACCCCUUCCGUAAAGACCAGCCUUGAGGCCGGAAAUGCCUCUUCUUCUCGCCCGUUGACCAGGGGGAGGAGGUAAACUCGGCUCUCCCGGCGUGCCCCGCGGGAGGGGGCGGGGCCGGAGGCGCGCCGAAGGCGCAGCCCGUACCCGCAGGCUGAGGUUCCCGUCAGGCUGUGCGGCGCGAAGCGGAGCUACGCUACCGCGUUGCCUUUAAGGAGUCGCUCAGUGGUGUCUGACUGUUUGCCACCCCAUGAACUGUAGCCCACCAGGCUCUUCUGUCUGUGAGAUUCUCCAGGCAAGAAUACUGGAGUGGCUUGCCAUUUCCUUCUCCAGGGGAUCUUCCCGACCCAGGAAUCAAACCCUUGUCUCCUGCAUUGGCAGUGUAGCAUGUGGAACUCUGCUCAAUAUUAUGUGGCACCUGAUGCAAAGAGCCAACUCAUUAGAAAAAACCCUGAUGCUCGGAAAGACUGAAGGCAGGAGGAAAAGGGGAAGACAGAGGAGGAGAUGGUUGGAUGGCAUCACCAACUCGAUGGACAUGAGUUUGAGCUAGCUCCGGGAGAUGGUGAAGGCCAGGGAAGCCUAAUUUGCUGCAACGUACAAUAUGCUGGGAAGGACAAAUGUUUGCAGAGCCGGACACAACUGAGUGACUGGACAAUAACAGUCUAUAAAAGUAUUGAAUCACUAUGUUCUAUACCUGAAACUAA